rnacentral:rRNA from 1 species
CCUACGGGGGGCAGCAGUGGGGAAUAUUGCACAAUGGGGGAAACCCUGAUGCAGCGACGCCGCGUGCGUGAAGAAGUAAUUCGUUAUGUAAAGCUCUAUCAGCAGGUAAGAAAAUGACGGUACCUGAGUAAGAAGCCCCGUCUAACUACGUGCCAGCAGCCGCGGUAAUACGUAGGGGGCAAGCGUUAUCCGGAUUUACUGGGAGUAAAGGGAGCGUAGACGGCAGUGCAAGUCUGGAGUGAAAGGCGGGGGCUCAACCCCCGGACUGCUCUGGAAACUGUACGGCUGGAGAGCAGGAGAGGUAGGUGGAAUUCCUAGUGUAGCGGUGAAAUGCGGAGAUAUUAGGAGGAACACCAGUGGCGAAGGCGGCUUACUGAACUGUAACUGACGUUGAGGCUCGAAAGCGUGGGGAGCAAACAGGAUUAGAUACCCGGGUAGUC